UACGGAGGGGGCUAGCGUUGUUCGGAAUUACUUGGCGUAAAGCGCGCGUAGGCGGGCUGUUAAGUCGGGGGUGAAAUCCCGGGGCUCAACCCCGGAACGGCCUCCGAUACUGGCAGCCUUGAGGUCGGGAGAGGUGAGUGGAAUGGCGAGUGUAGAGGUGAAAUUCGUAGAGAUUCGCCGGAACACCAGUGGCGAAGGCGGCUCACUGGCCCGAUACUGACGCUGAGGUGCGACAGCGUGGGGAGCAAACAGG
rnacentral:rRNA from 1 species